rnacentral:rRNA from 1 species
UACGGGGGGAGCAAGCGUUGUUCGGAUUUACUGGGCGUAAAGGGCGCGUAGGCGGCGUGACAAGUCACUUGUGAAAUCUCCGGGCUUAACCCGGAGCGGCCAAGUGAUACUGUCGUGCUAGAGUGCGGAAGGGGCUAGUGGAAUUCUCGGUGUAGCGGUGAAAUGCGUAGAUAUCGAGAGGAACACCUGCGGCGAAGGCGGGUAGCUGGGCCGACACUGACGCUGAUGCGCGAAAGCCAGGGGAGCGAACGGG